AACGAACGCUGGCGGCAGGCCUAACACAUGCAAGUCGAGCGAGGACUUCGGUCCUAGCGGCGGACGGGUGAGUAACGCGUGGGAACGUGCCCUUUGCUUCGGAAUAGCCCUGGGAAACUGGGAGUAAUACCGGAUGAGCCCUUUGGGGGAAAGAUUUAUCGGCGAAGGAUCGGCCCGCGUUGGAUUAGGUAGUUGGUGGGGUAAUGGCCUACCAAACCGACGAUCCAUAGCUGGUUUGAGAGGAUGAUCAGCCACACUGGGACUGAGACACGGCCCAGACUCCUACGGGAGGCAGCAGUGGGGAAUCUUAGACAAUGGGGGAAACCCUGAUCUAGCCAUGCCGCGUGAGCGAUGAAGGCCUUAGGGUUGUAAAGCUCUUUCAGCUGGGAAGAUAAUGACGGUACCAGCAGAAGAAGCCCCGGCUAACUCCGUG
rnacentral:rRNA from 1 species